UACGUGGGUGGCGAGCGUUGUCCGGAUUUACUGGGCGUAAAGGGCGUGCAGGCGGUUUGUUAAGUGCAGGGUGAAAGCUCCCGGCUCAACUGGGAGAGGUCCUUGCAUACUGGCGAACUCGAGGGAGGCAGAGGAAAGUGGAAUUCCCGGUGUAGUGGUGAUAUGCGUAGAUAUCGGAAGGAACAUCAGUGGCGAAAGCGACUUCCUGGACCAGUACCGACGUUCAGGCACGAAAGCGUGGGGAGCAAACAGG
rnacentral:rRNA from 1 species